UCAUGUUGAAAAUAUCAAAAUAGCCAUGAGUGCCAAGUUCGUGGAUUAUUUUGUUUUUUAAACAGAGUUCAUAAUAUUAACAACAGCAGGAGGUCAAGGUCUGGAAGACUCACUCCUCAAUGACAGAGAAAGCGGCUCCGAUACCAUCAAUUUUCAGCCUGGAAACCUUAAAAGAAAAUAAUUGCAUUUCUCAGCAGAGCAAUCCUUGCAGGGCUAAUAUAGGAGAGCCCGGCAGACAUCUAGAGAAUGUAGUGCCCUCUCCAAGGCUGUUUCCAGUUUCUGGAAGAAGGUUGCAAUGGAGUGUAUUUGAAUUGUAGUGCAAGACUCUUGAUUUGCUGAUAACGCUCCACAGGUGUUGUGUGCCAACGAUCCCCUUUUGCAGCCGAUCACCAUAGAGUUCAGCACCGGGUGCUGCAGUAAGGAGAUACCGAUGGUGUCUUCGGAGGUGGACCUGGUUCAUCGUCCACAUCCUGAUCAACGUCAAGUCCAGUGCUAAGAAAACCCUGGAACGUCGACCCCAAUGGUGUGCUGGAUGUAGAGUCUAACAGCUCCAACAGAGAAGUAGCUUUAUCCUGACCCAGGGAGAAUCCCUCAUCCUGGUCAUAAUCAGCCGACAAGUGUCUCUUAUGGAUGUCUCCAGGCACUGUGCUGCUCCUUUGGAGGGUAGAAGGAGACUAGACUGGGGUUAACGCCGGUGAGAAAAGGAGAUGCCUUCUCAAUGUCGAAAGAGGCUUCGCCGUCCACACUAUCGGUAAUGAAUCGAAGGGUGUCAACAUUGACGCUUUCGAUGCUGAGCCCAUCUGGAUGGACACCAAAGUUGAGGUUUUCAGCAUCAAAGUCCUCUGUACAAGACUCUAUGUCAAUAACGAGUUCUCCGACUCCCAUGCCGAGCUGCACUUCUGUAUUAAUGUCAGCAAUGGUGUUCCACUAAGCGUUGCCUCUUUGUGGGCGGCGAAGCACUCUCCUGCUCCGAAUCACGCCUCUGCUUCUUCUUCUUGUGCCUGUGAGCUUUUGUCGAUACCUCUUUCGGUUUCUUAAAGACAGGCUCUGGCGCCACGGUGUUAGACUGCUCCUUGGCAACUCCGUGGGCGCUUGAUAUCGAGCUCGGUACCAAGUUAAUUCCUAAUGCCGAAGAGUGACUUGGUCUCAGAGUUGGCGGCAGGAGCACCUUGUCAUAAAGUGCUGCUCGCAGGUGUAGCGCUCUGUUUUUUAAGGUUUGUUUUGAAAACGAGCAACAGAUUUUACAAGUUGCCAUAUUGUGUUGCUCACCGAGAUACAACAAGCACGGGUCGUGAUGGUCUGUAGACGGCAGCGUAGUGUGGCAUUAAACACAUCUUUUGAAAGUUGUUUUAGUUUCCAUAUUAAGGCUCGGAUGGAGCUAAUAGCCUCCGCGUCUUUGCAAAGUUGCACAAUGUCUCUCCAAGUCAGUUUUUAUUCUUAUUAGUUAAAUUGUCGAGCCAAGAGUAGUCAAAAGAAGUCCUGAGGUCAAUAUUUCAAUAAAUCAAUCCUAAAUUCUCUAUUAAACUUUUUGUAUUUCCGUUGAACCGAGGAGCUAAUACCAAGGUAUAGAUGCU